AGCUCAAGCCCGUUGUUUUUCUUUGAAAAUGAUCAGGAAUCACCUCCUCCAAGAUACGAUUUCGCUGGAGCUACUGACUGGCCUUACAAUAGAGAACAACGACCACCUCACCCGGAAU